rnacentral:rRNA from 1 species
CACGUAGGGCGCAAGCGUUGUCCGGAAUUAUUGGGCGUAAAGAGCUCGUAGGUGGUUUGUCGCGUUGUUCGUGAAAACCUGAGGCUUAACCUUGGGCGUGCGGGCGAUACGGGCAGACUGGAGUACUGCAGGGGAGACUGGAAUUCCUGGUGUAGCGGUGGAAUGCGCAGAUAUCAGGAGGAACACCGGUGGCGAAGGCGGAUCUCUGGGCCUUACCUGACGCUGAGGCGCGAAAGCUAGGGGAGCGAACAGG